CUCUGCAGGUCUGAUUUCAUAACUUGCGUUUCUUGUAUGACUUUAUGGGCCUCGAAUUCGUUUUCAUUGGCUAAUUCAAUGAAACUCAUGGAAGGCCUCUGAUCCUAGUUUUCUCAAUAAAUUCGAGCUGUCUAGAAACAAUCCUUACAAUGGGACCUUUUUUUAUGGAGUUCAAAGACUCUUUCUGGAAGAUUGUGGCAGAUAUAUUUUAGCAUCCAAAGACUCAUGAUUGAUACUCUGCUUGAGGAACCGAGAAAGCUCAACUCUGUUAGAGAGUGGAGCAUGCAACAUGCUCUAUGAUUCCCAUUAGUUCUCUGUGUUAAUAUUCUAGUUCUUCUCUAGAAAAAACAGAUGCUUGGAGAAGAGAGAAGUCAAACCAUAUCCAAAGUCAUAGCAGUGCAGAGUAUGGUUUUGUUCCACCAAGUUCAGAAAUUGUGAACGUAUUGGAUCUGCUCAUACCACCUCCCUUCAUGAUGAAUUUUAACAACUCAGUACUUGGAGGAUGGCUACUCAACUAAAUCCUAUUUAUUGGAGCACAAUUCCUAACUCAGAUGGUGGCACUUUGAAUCUUUGGAACAGUUGUAGGAGGAAGAUUUGCCAAAGCCUCCCUAUGCAAUGCAUGGGCCUUUGGUUGCAAGUGAGAUUUGAAGAUUCUAUUCUCUCUUGGAAGACUUCAACUCAUUUUUUUUUUUUAGUUUUGAGCUUUGAGCUUUUACUUCCAAGCAUGUGCAAAGAAGAAAGAAAGCAACAACAAGGUCCACUUGUAGAAGUUUUACAUGGAGUGAAACUCCCAUAAGCUGUAAGUUUUACAUGGAGUGAAAAUAUUGUAGCUAUUGGUUUGUCAACCUUGAAGGUUAUAGUUUUGUUUCCCAUUGGAUCUCUGAGGAAUGUGUUUGCUGAAUCAUACAUUUUGAGCUUACUAUUGAUUUUGUGUAUAUACAUACAUAUAAAUGAUGUUUUCUUCUUCAUUCA